GUGAGAAUGUCUCCAAGAGGAGAGGAAGGAGUCAGUCCAGCCCCCAACUGGAAAACAUCCUUACAGGACCCUGCCCUUGAGCCCACCGUGGGACAGAUUCUGCUGAGUGGGAAAAGCCUGCCAGGUCAAAGAAGGAAAGAAAUGUCUGGGGGACAAAGAAAGAAAGAAACUCUGGAGGAUCUGCAAGGAGCAUUCAGUUCCUCUGACAUCUGUCACUCAGGGGAACAGGAAGAGGAAGAUGGGUUAAUGUGCUUCACAGAAGAAGAUCAUCCAGGAGGAAUAUUGAUGGGUAGUCACCUGCCCUACUUUUACCUUUCAUGUUGGAUGCUCUUACUAGAUUGCCAAAAUCUUCAUUCACGAAAAUAGGAGCUUCAGAGCACUCAGACUUCAGCAAAUCAGUCUGUAUUUGGGGAGCCUAAAUUUGAAGUAAGAAGAAUAAUUUUGUGCUUUUCAUACCACUGGCAAAAUGUAAAUUUCAUUGGUGCAACGUUCACUCAUUAUCGCUGAAUCAAAGAGCAGUCUCAGUUCCUGCUGGCAUCCUAUUUAACAGAAAAAUAAAAGUCUCUUCUGUUGCA
rnacentral:lncRNA from 1 species